GAAUGAUGGUGACCUAAACCCUCACCAGAGUAACAAUUGGAGGGCAAGUCUGGUGCCAGCAGCCGCGGUAAUUCCAGCUCCAAUAGCGUAUAUUAAACUUGUUGCAGUUAAAAAGCUCGUAGUUGAAUUUCUGCGUCACCGUAUUUUGACUUUUGUCGACUGUCGGUUUCGCUUUUGGGAUUUAUCCCUUUUUACUUUGAGAAAAUUAGAGUGUUUCAAGCAGACUUUUGUCUUGAAUACUUCAGCAUGGAAUAAUAGAGUAGGACUUUGGUUCUAUUUUGUUGGUUUGUGAACCUUAGUAAUGGUUAAUAGGAACGGUUGGGGGCAUUCGUAUUUAACUGUCAGAGGUGAAAUUCUUAGAUUUGUUAAAGACGAACUACUGCGAAAGCAUUUGCCAAGGACGUUUUCAUUAAUCAAGAACGAAAGUUAGGGGAUCGAAGACGAUCAGAUACCGUCGUAGUCCUAACCAUAA
rnacentral:rRNA from 1 species